GAUGAAGAACGUAGCGAAAUGCGAUACGUAAUGUGAAUUGCAAAUUCAGUGAAUCAUCGAGUCUUUGAACGCACAUUGCGCCCCCUGGUAUUCCGGGGGGCAUGCCUGUCCGAGCGUCAUUGCUGCCCUCAAGCACGGCUUGUGUGUUGGGCCCCGUCCUCCGAUCCCGGGGGACGGACCCGAAAGGCAGCGGCGGCACCGCGUCCGGUCCUCGAGCGUAUGGGGCUUUGUCACCCGCUCUGUAGGCCCGGCCGGCGCUUGCCGAUCAACCCAAAUUUUUUAUCCAGGUUGACCUCGGAUCAGGUAGGGAUACCCGCUGAACUUAAGCAUAUCAUAAGCGGAGGA
rnacentral:misc_RNA from 1 species